GAGCAUUCAAGCGGCGGCGGCGGCCAAAUCUGAGCUAUUUUGCUGCCCUGCCCCUCGAUGGCUCUCUGAUUGGCAUCUGCAUCGCAUCUCCAUCCUGAGGUAUUCGUAUUUUCCUCCACUUGGUUUUGGUUUGUCCUGAUCUGUUAGAAACCAAUUGAAUGAUCUUCAGUCCGCAAUCCAUAUGUAGAUGGCAUGAGAG
rnacentral:lncRNA from 1 species